CCUACGGGUGGCUGCAGUGGGGAAUAUUGCACAAUGGGGGAAACCCUGAUGCAGCGACGCCGCGUGAGUGAAGAAGUACUUCUUUAUUUAAAGCUCUAUCAGCACGGAAGAAAAUUACGUUACCUGAGUAAUAAGCCCCGUCUAACUACGUUCCAGCAGCCGCGGUAAUACGUAGGGGGCAAGCGUUAUCCGGAUUUACCGGGUGUAAAGGGAGCGUAGAGGGCAUUGUAAGACUGGAGUGAACGGCGGGGGCUCAACCGCGGGACUGCACGGGAAACUGUACGGCUGGAGUGCAGGAGAGGUAAGUGGAAUUCGUAGUGUAGCGGUGAAAUGCGUAGAUAUUAGGAGGAACACCAGUGGCGAAGGCAGCUUACUGGAGUGUUACUGACGUUGAGGCUCGAAAGCGUGGGGAGCAAACAGGAUUAGAUACCCCAGUAGUC
rnacentral:rRNA from 1 species